UGCAGGAGAUCACAACAGACAUUACCGGUUCCUUAAUAGCCCACCUGGAGCUCCUGAAUGUAUAAAUGCAGUUUACAUCGACAGCUUGAAAGCAAGGAAUCGCUUCUUGGUUGUUCAAAGUCCCAUGAAAGAAACUGUGAUCGACUUUUUGACACUGUUGUCCCAGGAACAUUGUACAUGUGUCGUAAGCUUUGAACCUUCCACAGACAAACAAAAGAAACAAAAUGUCGGAUUGUAUUAUCCUGCUGGAAACCACGUUUUAAAACAGGGCAUGUUUCAAGUCAGCUGUACCAAACAAGAAAACUACGGCUAUUGCACAAAAAGACUGCUAACGAUCAAAC